GGGCGAAAGNNGAUGCAGCAUGCCGCGUGUGUGAAGAAGGCUUAGGGUUGUAAAGCACUUCAGCGAGGGGGAAAGGAUUAAAGUUAAUACCUUUAGUCUGUGACGUUACUCGCAGAAGAAGCACCGGCUAACUCCGUGCCAGCAGCCGCGGUAAUACGGAGGGUGCGAGCGUUAAUCGGAAUUACUGGGCGUAAAGCGUGCGUAGGCGGCUACUUAAGUUGGAUGUGAAAGCCCCGGGCUCAACCUGGGAACUGCAUCCAAAACUGGGUGGCUAGAGUGCGAGAGAGGAGUGUGGAAUNUCCUGUGUAGCGGUGAAAUGCGUAGAUAUAGGAAGGAACACCAGUGGCGAAGGCGACACUCUGGCUUGACACUGACGCUGAGGUACGAAAGCGUGGGGAGCAAACAGGAUUAGAUACCCUGGUAGUCCACGCCGUAAACGAUGUCUACUAGUUGUCCGUUGUCUUGUACGAUGGGUAACGCAGCUAACGCGAUAAGUAGACCGCCUGGGGAGUACGGCCGCAAGGUUA
rnacentral:rRNA from 1 species